CGGAGGAUCCAAGCGUUAUCCGGAUUUAUUGGGUUUAAAGGGUGCGUAGGCGGUUUAGUAAGUCAGCGGUGAAAUUUUGGUGCUUAACACCAAACGUGCCGUUGAUACUGCUGGGCUAGAGAGUAGUUGCGGUAGGCGGAAUGUAUGGUGUAGCGGUGAAAUGCUUAGAGAUCAUACAGAACACCGAUUGCGAAGGCAGCUUACCAAACUAUAUCUGACGUUGAGGCACGAAAGCGUGGGGAGCAAACAGGAUU
rnacentral:rRNA from 1 species